GACGAACGCUGGCGGCGUGCUUAACACAUGCAAGUCGAACGCUGAAGACCUGGCUUUUGUUGGGUUGGAUGAGUGGCGAACGGGUGAGUAACACGUGAGUAACCUGCCCUCUUCUUUGGGAUAACGCCCGGAAACGGGUGCUAAUACUGGAUAUUCACUGAUCUUCGCAUGGGGGUUGGUGGAAAGGUUUGUUCUGGUGGGGGAUGGGCUCGCGGCCUAUCAGCUUGUUGGUGGGGUGAUGGCCUACCAAGGCUUUGACGGGUAGCCGGCCUGGGAGGGUGACCGGUCAGGUUGGGACUGAGAUACGGCCCAGACUCCUACGGGAGGCAGCAGUGGGGAAUAUUGCACAAUGGGCGAAAGCCUGAUGCAGCGACGCCGCGUGAGGGAUGGAGGCCUUCGGGUUGUAAACCUCUUUCGCUCAUGGUCAAGCCGCAACUGUGGGUUGUGGUGAGGGUAGUGGGUAAAGAAGCGCCGGCUAACUACGUG
rnacentral:rRNA from 1 species